GUUGGUGGUUCAGUGGUAGAACACUCGCCUUCCAUGUGGGAGACCCAGGUUCAAUUCCCAGCCAAAACA
rnacentral:tRNA from 1 species